CUUACAUUAGAAUAGCUAAGGGGUUGUUACCCCCAUCUAAAUGUUCUAUAAGG
rnacentral:tRNA from 1 species